GUAGUUGUGGCCGAGAGGUUAAGGCGAUGGACUCGAAAUCCAUUGGGAUCUCGGCAGGUUCAAACCCUGCCGACUACG